UUCCUGGUGUUCCUUGGACACCUAUCUUCCUGGUACCAAGCUCCUCCUUCCCUGCUUUGGAAUUAACUCAGGAAUCCUGGAACACUGAAUGUUUGAAUGGUACUCACUGAAGUCAGUAGAAAAAAUCCCUUUGCCGUCCCGUGGGAAUGAGACCUAUAGUACCUUUCAAGACCAACUCUCUCAUUCCACAACCUCUCAAGGAGUUUCCAAAUACCUUUUGCUUGAAUGAAGCAGAUCUGGAUCUCAUCAGUGAAAUACCUCUAAUUGGCAAGUAGGCAAACAGAGACCAAGACUAUACAUACUGGCUGGAUAUCUAGUUUUCACCUAUCACAAAGAAGAUCAGAACAAAACUGAAUACAUUAAGAAAUUACUCACUCAUUCCUCAUGGUUUUUACUUGAAACCCAUUUUCACUGUACUAAAAAACGCUUUUCACUUUUCUACAUGCUCCUUAUGAAGAAGGCUGCACUGACUGUUUGUUUAACCAUGUUUCCAGCUCAGUUUGUCACUAGUUUUAUGAUUCAGAAAACAUCUGAAAUAAAGGUUAAC